CCUACGGGAGGCAGCAGUGGGGGAUAUUGCACAAUGGGGGAAACCCUGAUGCAGCGACGCCGCGUGUGGGAAGACGGUCCUCUGGAUUGUAAACCACUGUCCCCAGGGACGAAGAUGACGGUACCUGGGGAGGAAGCUCCGGCUAACUACGUGCCAGCAGCCGCGGUAAUACGUAGGGAGCAAGCGUUGUCCGGAAUUACUGGGUGUAAAGGGAGCGUAGGCGGGAUGGCAAGUUGGGUGUUAAAUCUACCGGCUCAACUGGUAGUCGCACUCAAAACUGCUAUUCUUGAGUGAAGUAGAGGCAGGCGGAAUUCCUAGUGUAGCGGUGAAAUCCGUAGAUAUCUGGAGGAACAUCAGUGGCGAAGGCGACUAUCUGGCACAUAACUGACGCUGAGGAGCGAAAGCGUGGGUAGCAAACAGGAUUAGAUACCCGAGUAGUC
rnacentral:rRNA from 1 species